GAUGAACGCUGGCGGGCGCGCCUAACACAUGCAAGUCGACGGUUAAAAGCAGUCUUCGGAUGUGUAUAAAGUGGCGAACGGCUGAGUACACGUGGGCAACCUGCCCUUUGCACUGGGAUAGCCUCGGGAAACCGAGGUUAAUACCGGAUACUCCAAUAUUUGUCGCAUGGCGAAUAUGGGAAAGCUCCGGCGGCAAAGGAUGGGCCCGCGGCCUGUUAGCUAGUUGGUGGGGUAGUGGCCUACCAAGGCAAUGAUGGUAGCCGGUUGAGAGACCGACCGGCCAGAUUGGGACUGAGACACGGCCCAGACUCCUACGGGAGGCAGCAGUGGGGAAUCUUGCACAAUGGGCGAAAGCCUGAUGCAGCGACGCCGCGUGCGGGAUGAAGGCCUUCGGGUUGUAAACCGCUUUCAGCAGGGACGAGGCCGCAAGGUGACGGUACCUGCAGAAGAAGCCCCGGGCUAACUACGUGCCAGCAGCCGCGGUAAAU
rnacentral:rRNA from 1 species